rnacentral:rRNA from 1 species
UACGUAGGGGGCAAGCGUUGUCCGGAUUUAUUGGGCGUAAAGAGCGUGUAGGCGGCCAGACAAGUUUGCUGUGAAAACUCGAGGCUCAACCUCGAGCUGUCGGUGGAAACUGUCUGGCUAGAGUCCGGAAGAGGAGAGUGGAAUUCCUGGUGUAGCGGUGAAAUGCGCAGAUAUCAGGAAGAACACCUAUGGCGAAGGCAGCUCUCUGGGACGGUACUGACGCUGAGACGCGAAAGCGUGGGGAGCGAACAGG